AUCCCGGCCGGGCCAGAUGCGGAGAGUGUUAGUACGGCAGAUUCAUAAGAAGCUCAGGAAAAAAAGUACUCGAAAAAAAAUUAUAAAUCACAGAAAUAAGCGGGAGUGUAGGACAUCAAAGAUAAUUCCAGUAAUGAGCUAGCAUGAGCAUGAUGGGCUGAGUGGCUUCAUUUUAACGUGAAUGAUGAUAUAUCUGCAAUUAGCAACUAUUUAGUGAGGUCCAGAUGACUAGCUGGCCAAGUUAUGAUAGAGGCAAAAGAAAUUAUUAAACCUCAGAAUGUUGGCUUUCAUAGCUCAAACAGUGCAAGGAAGUUCUCUCCAUCUGUACAAAAUCACAGAGCGCGGUAGGCAUAAUGUACCUCGCUCUAGGGCAUAUUUGAGCUACAACUAGAAGGAAGAUCGCUGAUAACCUUGCGUUAGGGAUAUGAUCGCUGCCUAUGGAACAGCUGGGUGGACACUAACUUGGACCAACUUGAGGGCCUCUGAAAGAAUAUCACACCUCUCUAUGAUGGAUAUGGUCUCCAAAAUGGGGUUCGGAGAGGGAAUCCAUAAAUUGCUCUGUAUCAUCAUCAGACCAAAUCAAUGGGUGGGACAUGGAACAGGCUGCCUCUUCUGUCUUCACUGUAUGUUAUAUUAAUUGUUUUUGCUGAAAUUUGUUUGGAAGGACAAGUACCUAAGGGGAAUGUCAAUGCUAGUUAGCGGAUGACUGAAGGUUGUCUUGUCUAUUGCUGAUGUUGCUACGAGUGACAAUCAGAAGGUUGGGGUUCAUGCUUGUUGAUUUAGAGGUGUUCUUCCAAGCUGUCAUGCAAUCCAUGUUUGGUUACUGCUGUGAUGCCUACUGCUGCUAUACCUAUGCCACUCAGCUAGCCGUUCCUGCAUGGGAGGAGUUCACAUUCUGUACAAGCUGGGUUAUCAAUAAAGUUCAGGCGAAUAUCCUGUAUGCUGGCAUCCUAGUAUACUCUGCACUCUCCCUCAAUACCAAAUGCCUUAUGGUGUCAGAAGUGGUUGAUCAUCAAUGAAUUGGUGCCAGAGACCAGACGUACGGGUUCGUAGUCACAUGGAUGUAAUUGGAUGGCAGGGGCUCAUCGGAUCACAAGGGCCUGUAUCUCUAAAGAUAAAGGAAACAGAAUAGGUCUUUCUGGCCCUUCAAGCUUCAUCAGCCAGCAACCCUGAUUUAACCCUAAUUUAAUCACGAGAAAUUUACAACAAUCACUGAACCUACCCAGUACAUCUUUGGACUAUGGGAGAAAAUCACUGAUCAUAGGUUAAUUGAUCACUGGGAAGAAAUCAGAGAAAACCCACGCACUCCACAGGGAUGAGGUGCAGAGACUCCUUACAAAAGACGCAGGGACUGAAUUCCGUAUUCCAGUGCCCUGAGUUGUAAUAACAUCAUGCUAACUGGCUCCCCACCAUGAUGCCGGAAAGAAUAGCUGCUCUUUCGAGCUAGGUGAUACAAAGAAACACAAUCGAAUUAAUAUAAAAAAUAUACACAGACAAAGAUGGUCAAACAACCAAGGUGGAAAAGAAGACAAACUGUGCAAUUACAAA